AUGUAUCAGAAUAUGAAUUUUUUUUGUUGUUUCUUCGUAAACAUCUUCUUGCUUACCAUUAGCAUCUUCUGGAACUUUUCUGGAACGAAUCCACUUUUCCAGGAAGAUGGAACAUUUUGGGAUAAUGUACCCUGGUUUUUCUCGGAAAACCCUAUGGUUCUUUAUGGAUCCUCUUAUGCAUUAUGUUCGAUAUCAAGGAAAGGCAAUUCUUGCAUCAAAAGGCACUUUUUUUUGAAGAAGAAAUGGAAAUGCUACCUUAUCAAUUUCUGGCAAUAUUAUUUCUGUUUUUGGACUCAGCCGCAAAGAAUCCAUAUAAACCAAUUAGCAAACUCUUGCUUCGAUUUUAUGGGGUACCUUUCAAGUGUACAAAAAAGUUCUUUGUUAGUAAGGAAUCAAAUGCUGGAGAAUUCAUUUCUAAUAGAUACUCGAAUGAAAAAAUUCGAUACCAUAGUCCCCGCUACUCUCCUCAUAGGAUACUUAUCAAAAGCUCAAUUUUGUACUGGAUCGGGGCAUCCUAUUAGUAAACCCAUUUGGACAGAUUUAUCAGAUUGGGAUAUUCUUGAUCGAUUUGGUCGGAUAUGUAGAAAUCUUUUUCAUUAUCAUAGUGGAUCUUCGAAAAAACGGACUUUGUAUCGACUAAAGUAUAUACUUCGACUUUCAUGCGCUAGAACUUUAUCUCGGAAACAUAAAAGCACGGUACGAACUUUUAUGCAACGAUUGGGUUCGGCAUUUUUAGAAGAAUUUUUUAUGGAAGAAGAGCAAGUUUUUUCUUUGAUGUUCACCAAAACAACUCUUUUUUCUUUCUGUGGAUCACACACUGAGCGUAUUUGGUAUUUGGAUAUUAUACGUAUCAAUGACCCGGUCAACCCUCUUAAUUAA
rnacentral:rRNA from 1 species